rnacentral:rRNA from 1 species
AGAGUUUGAUCAUGGCUCAGAUUGAACGCUGGCGGCAUGGCUAAAGCAUGCAAGUCGAACGAGAAGCGGGCUUCGGCCCGCGGACAGUGGCGAAAGGGUGAGUAACGCGUUCCUUACGUACCCCAAGGUGGGGGAUAGGUCGGAGAAAUCCGGCGUAAUACCCCAUGUCCUCUUCGGAGGAAAGGCUUCGGCCGCCUUGGGAGCGGGGAGCGUCCCAUCAGGUAGUUGGUGAGGUAAAGGCUCACCAAGCCAAAGACGGGUAGCGGGUGUGAGAGCAUGGCCCGCCACAUCGGGACUGAGACACUGCCCGGACUCCUACGGGAGGCUGCAGCGACGAAUAUUCCGCAAUGCGCGAAAGCGUGACGGAGCAAUGCCGCGUGCAGGAUGAAGCGGCUUCGCCGUGUAAACUGCUGUCAGGGUGUAGGAAUACUGACCAUACCCAAAGGAAGGACCGGCUAACCUCGUGCCUGCAGCCGCGGUAAUACGAGGGGUCCAAGCGUUAAUCGGAAUCACUGGGCUUAAAGGGUACGUAGGCGGCCUUGUAAGCAUCUCGUGAAAUCCCACGGCUCAACCGUGGAAUUGCGGGGUGAACUGCAAGGCUUGAGGCAGGUAGAGGUCAUCGGAACGAUCGGUGGAGCGGUGAAAUGCGUUGAUAUCGAUCGGAACGCCAAAGGAGAAGUCAGGUGACUGGGCCUGUCCUGACGCUGAGGUACGAAAGCGUGGGUAGCGAACGGGAUUAGAUACCCCGGUAGUCCACGCCCUAAACGAUGUGCACUAGAUCGAGGCGGCUCUGACGUCGUCUCGGCCGAAGCGAAAGCGUUAAGUGCACCGCCUGGGGAGUACGGUCGCAAGGCUAAAACUCAAAGGAAUUGACGGGGGCUCACACAAGCGGUGGAGCAUGUGGCUUAAUUCGAAGCAACGCGAAGAACCUUAUCCUGGGCUUGACAUGUAUGGAUUAGCUUUGUGAAAGCAGAGUGACACUCUUGAGUGGAACAUACACAGGUGCUGCAUGGCUGUCGUCAGCUCGUGCUGUGAAGUGUCGGGUUAAGUCCCUUAACGAGCGCAACCCCUAUCGUUAGUUGCCAGCGCGUAAUGGCGGGGACUCUAGCGAGACUGCCGGUGUCAAACCGGAGGAAGGUGGGGAUGACGUCAAGUCAGCAUGGCCCUUAUGCCCAGGGCUGCACACGUGCUACAAUGGUGCAUACAGAGCGACGCGAGACCGCAAGGUGGAGCAAAUCGCAAAAAGUGCACCCCAGUUCGGAUUGCAGGCUGCAACUCGCCUGCAUGAAGUUGGAAUCGCUAGUAAUCGUAGAUCAGCUACGCUACGGUGAAUACGUUCCUGAGCCUUGUACACGCCGCCCGUCAAGUCAUGGAAGCCGGGAGUACCCGAAGUCGCCGCGAUUCAGCGGUGCCCACGGUAAGUUCGGUGACUGGGACUAAGUCGUAACAAGGUA